UAAGUAUGCAUUUGGAUCCGGCGCUGGAAAAACUGUAAAUUUGUCAACCAACUUUCUUGAGCUAUCAUCUCUUUCUUCUCUCAAGAUAUCGCAAGGUAAAAAGUUAUCGCUUCUUCAUCCCAGUAUCGCAUCCAUCAAUCACAGCUGGCCAC